GGGGGAUAUUGCACAAUGGGGGAAACCCUGAUGCAGCGACGCCGCGUGGAGGAAGAAGGUUUUCGGAUUGUAAACUCCUGUCGUUAGGGACGAUAAUGACGGUACCUAACAAGAAAGCACCGGCUAACUACGUGCCAGCAGCCGCGGUAAAACGUAGGGUGCAAGCGUUGUCCGGAAUUACUGGGUGUAAAGGGAGCGCAGGCGGGAAGACAAGUUGGAAGUGAAAACCAUGGGCUCAACCCAUGAAUUGCUUUCAAAACUGUUUUUCUUGAGUAGUGCAGAGGUAGAUGGAAUUCCCGGUGUAGCGGUGGAAUGCGUAGAUAUCGGGAGGAACACCAGUGGCGAAGGCGGUCUACUGGGCACCAACUGACGCUGAGGCUCGAAAGCAUGGGUAGCAAACAGGAUUAGAUACCCUGGUAGUCCAUGCCGUAAACGAUGAUUACUAGGUGUUGGGGGAUUGACCCCCUCAGUGCCGCAGU
rnacentral:rRNA from 1 species